rnacentral:rRNA from 1 species
GAUGAACGCUGGCGGCGUGCCUAAUACAUGCAAGUCGAGCGAACAGACGAGGAGCUUGCUCCUCUGACGUUAGCGGCGGACGGGUGAGUAACACGUGGAUAACCUACAUAUAAGACUGGGAUAACUUCGGGAAAACGGAGCUAAUACCGGAUAAUAUAUUGAACCGCAUGGUUCAAUAGUGAAAGACGGUUUUGCUGUCACUUAUAGAUGGAUCCGCGCCGCAUUAGCUAGUUGGUAAGGUAACGGCUUACCAAGGCAACGAUGCGUAGCCGACCUGAGAGGGUGAUCGGCCACACUGGAACUGAGACACGGUCCAGACUCCUACGGGAAGCAGCAGUAGGGAAUCUUCCGCAAUGGGCGGAAGCCUGACGGAACAACGCCGCGUGAGUGAUGAAGGUCUUCGGAUCGUAAAACUCUGUUAUUAGGGAAGAACAAAUGUGUAAGUAACUAUGCGCGUCUUGACGGUACCUAAUCAGAAAGGCACGGCUAACUACGUG